CUCCGAUCGGUAGCCGGCCUGAGAGGGCGGACGGCCACACUGGAACUGAGACACGGUCCAGACUCCUACGGGAGGCAGCAGUGGGGAAUUUUCGCAAUGGGCGCAAGCCUGACGAAGCAACGCCGCGUGGAGGAUGAAGGUCUUCGGAUUGUAAAACUCCUGUCGACCGGGACGAAUGCACUCGACCUAAUACGUCGGAAUGUUGACGGUACCGGUGGAGGAAGCCACGGCUAACUCUGUGCCAGCAGCCGCGGUAAUACAGAGGUGGCAAGCGUUGUUCGGAAUUACUGGGCGUAAAGGGCGCGUAGGCGGCCUUGUAAGUCUCGUGUGAAAGCCCUCGGCUUAACUGAGGAUCUGCACGGGAUACUGUAAGGCUCGAGUUCGGGAGAGGAAAGCGGAAUUCCGGGUGUAGCGGUGAAAUGCGUAGAUAUCCGGAGGAACACCAGUGGCU
rnacentral:rRNA from 1 species